GUUUGAACAGGUGUGUUUUGAGUCUGCGUCGAAAUAGGGGGAGGGAUUCUGCUGUCCUGACAGUGGUAGGCAGGUCAUUCCACCACUGAGGAACCAGAACGGAAAACAGGCGUGAACGUGCAGCUCGACCGCCAGGUGCCCGUAGAGAGGGAAUCGUAAGGCGACCAGAGCUGGCAGACCGGAGUGGUCUAGCUGGGGAGUAGGGAGUGAUCAGGGAUUGUAUGUAAUGUGGGGCAGUCCCCUUAGCAGCCUGAAAUGCCAACACUAGGGCCUUGAAUCGGAUGCGUGCGGCAAUAGGAAGCCAGUGGAGGCCAAUGAGAAGCGGAACCAAUUAACUUAAAUUUCAUGUCAUUUGGCUGACGCUUUUAUCCAAAGCCACUUACAGUUGUUUUAUUAAGCUGGAGACAGUCCUCUCCUGGAUCUUAUUGUCUCUGCACCUGGGAUCCAAAAGCCACUCCUAAGAGCCGGAUUUGAACCAGCGACCUAAGGAUUUCAACACUGCCCUCUACAGUCCUCCGCUCUACCAACUGAGCUAUCGAAGGGAGUUGAGUUGUUGUGCCACUAUACAAUGUUUUGGUACAGAGUGCCGGCCUGUCAGUCUGUACCAAACUGUACCGACUGACAGAGGGUGUGACCAGGAGGAAGUGGGACAGCCGAGAGGUGGAGGCGGUGGAGAGGCACCUGAUCAGCUUCAUCAGGACCCGCAGACUGCCCCCGAAGCGUGACUGCCUCAGGUGUGUGCAGGCAGAGCCCAGCGCGCUGAGGAACAGGAGCUGGUCCAGUGUGAAAUUCUACAUAAAAAACACCAUCGCCGCGUCGAAGAAACAAAGGUACAAGCGCUAGGACGCCGGCAUCAAUUUUUUUCUUUUUAACUGUCGAAUUAUGAUUGGUUUCAUGCUCUGCCCUGGGGAAUAUGUCUGCUGAUGGAUAAUGAUAACAAAGGACUUUGUAAAAAAAAAAAAUAAUAAAGAAAUAAUAAUAAAAAAAUCUUUUUUUUGGUAGCAAAUUUUUGCUUCAUUUGCAUUGUUUUUUUGACUGACGGUUCAAUUAAUAAAUAAUUGAUUGGUACUGCU